GGAUGUGUUUGCAGGUUGAGGAUUAGAGCUCCUGCACCAAGCAGGCCACCUUGUCCGAACCAGGUCAAUGCGUUCGAGAAAGUUGUGUGGACAUUUGCUGAGAACCCAACUGAGAAUGUUAUCACACCAGUUAUCGGCACAACAUUCGACUCGGUGGGCGAGGCGUAUGACUUCUACAAUUUGUACUCGUGGGAGAAGGGCUUUGGCAUUCGUUACGGCAAGAGCAGGCUAAAUGUGGAGAGGACAAAAUGCAUGCAAGAAAUAGUUUGUGGUUGCUCGGGAAAAGCUGGGGUGGAGAACACAAGGUCUUGUCGUUGUGAGUGCCCUGCUCUAAUAAGGCUGCUAUGAGCGGAGGACAAUGGGUGGUACAUAACAGAGCAUAGAGACAAUCACAACCACUCGUUGUGGCCUAAUUUCGGUGAGACAGUACACUGGGCCUCAAACAAGCACAUAGAUGUGUACACUAGGGAUAUAGUGAAGCAGUUAAGGCAGAACAAUGUCAACUUAGCAAAGGUGUACGGCAUCACCGGAGGCUACUUUGGAUCAAUGGAAAAUGUUCCGUUCAUGAAGAGGUCGUUGCGUAACCUGUGUGGGAAGAUAAAUAGAGACAAUGCAGAAGAUGAUGUGAAAAAAACAAUGGAUGUGUUCACAGAGAUUGGGGCUAAAGAUCCACACUUCAUGUAUAGGGUCCAGUCUGACAAUGAGGGCAGGAUUAAGAAUCUGAUGUGGGCUAGUGGGAGUAGCAGGCUGCAAUAUUCAUUUUUUGGUGAUGUUAUAACAUUUGACAUCACUUACCGGACUAAUCUGUAAGACAUGCCUUUCGGCCUUUUUGUAGGGGUAAACAAUCAUUUUCAGAGUGUGAUCCUAGCAGGUGUGCUCGUGCGAGAUGAAACGGAAGAUAGUUUUGAGUGGGUUUUCUCAGAAUUCCUUAGAAUGAUGGGCAGGUCUCCACCGGUGACCAUACUGACAGGUACACUCCUAUAA
rnacentral:rRNA from 1 species